rnacentral:sRNA from 1 species
GGAGCAGGGCCUCUGUCCCCUUCUCUGCCUGGGAAGUAGAGGUGCAGAUGAGGGUGACGGGACUGGGGCGCCGGGGAGCCCAGGGCAUGGCCGUGUGGUAUACCCGGGGCAGGGGCCAUGUAGGCUCUGUCCUUGGGGGGCUGGCCUCGUGGGACGGCAUCGGGAUCUUCUUUGACUCUUCGGCAGAGGAUACUCAGAACAGUCCUGCCAUCCGUGUGCUGGCCAGCGAUGGGCACAUCCCCUCUGAGCAGCCUGGGGAUGGAGCCAGCCAAGCGCUGGGCUCCUGUCAUCGGGACUUCCGGAACCAGCCACACCCCUUCAGAGCACAGAUCACCUACUGGGGUCAGAGGCUGCGCGUGUCCUUGAACAGUGGCCUCACUCCCAGUGAUCCAGAUGAGUUCUGCAUGGAUGUGGGGCCCCUGCUUUUGGUCCCUGGAGGUUUCUUUGGGGUCUCAGCAGCCACCGUCACCCUGGCAGGUGAGGAUCCCACUGGGCAGGUAAGAGCAGAAGGGCAGUGACGAAUAAAUCACCCUCAGCACACCUUCUAAAGAGCACUGGGGUGGCGUCAGCCACUUCGCCACGGACCUGGGCCUCCAUGACCCUUCGGAAAAGUAAUGUCUGCCUUGAGACUUGCAAGUCUCAAAUGGGAUAAAACAAGAGAAGCUUUGAUUUCAGUGCUGGCCAUAUAAGUACUCCUAGCUGUGAGCUGCGGGACAAGUGGAAGACAGACAGCAAGGAGGGACAUUUAGGAAAAUGGAGCAAAGAGAUGUGACACCAUGGAGAGUCCAUGGAGGGUCCCACAGCGGGAAAGCCAAGGGCAACCAGAGCGUGGGAGUCCUUGAAUGCCAGGACCUUGGUCUGGCUUCUGAGGAGGAGAGUGACAUGGUCAGAGCUAUGCUGGAAAGGUGGCCACGGUGCAGUUGCUACUACCAGUAGCAGCUGUGCUCUGGGGGCCUAGAGAGUGUCCGUUGGUCUGCUGCCAUGGCUCUAGCCCGGGAUGUUUUGGGAUCAUCCAGUUCUGCCACAGGGGCCUGCCUCUGACUGAGUGUGAGGUUCAACCCUCACCACCCACCCAUCUACCUGUCAACCCUCACAUCUUCCUAUGAAGUGAGCAAGACAAGCAUCAGAUGGUGGCCCAAAGUCUCCCCUCUUGCCUCGGUGGGAUAUCAUGGCAGUGAGGGUGAAGGCUGAGCGAGGGGGCUGCUGGGUGGAGGGGUCUGUCUUCUCCUUCAUCUGUCCCCUUCCAGACGAUCAUGAUGUCCUGUCCUUCCUGACCUUCAGCCUGAGUGAGCCCAGCCCAGAGGUUCCCCCUCAGCCCUUCCUGGAGAUGGAGCAGCUCCGCCUGGCGAGGCAGCUGGAAGGGCUGCGGGCAAGGCUGGGCUUGGGCACCAGGGAGGAUGUAACUCCAAAGUCAGACUCUGAAGCUCAAGGAGAAGGGGAAAGGCUCUUUGACCUGGAGGAGAUGCUGGGCAGACACAGCCGGAUCCUGCAGGCUCUGUGGGGUCUCUCCGAGCAGCUGGCCCAGGCUGAGAGACAAUGGAAGAAGCAGCUGGGGCCCCCAGGCCAAGCCGGGCCUGAUGGAGGCUGGGCCUUGGACUCUUCCUGCCAGAUUCCAUCCACCCCAGGGAGGGGUGGCCACCUCUCCAUGUCACUCAAUAAGGACUCUGCCAAGGUUGGUGCCCUGCUCCAUGGACAGUGGACUCUGCUGCAGGCCCUGCAAGAGAUGAGGGAUGCAGCUGUCCGCAUGGCUGCAGAAGCCCAGGUCUCCUACCUGCCUGUGGGCACUGAGCAUCAUUUCUUAGAGCUGGGCCACAUCCUGGGCCUCCUGCAGAAGGAGAUUCGGGUCCCGGCGAAGGCAGUGGCCAAGGCCCCCCGCCCACCUGGCCAGCCCCCAAGGGCCUCCUCGUGCCUGCAGCCUGGCAUCUUCCUGUUCUACCUCCUCAUUCAGACUGUAGGCUUCUUUGGCUACGUGCACUUCAGGCAGGAGCUGAACAAGAGCCUUCAGGAGUGUCUCUCCACAGGCAGCCUUCCUCUGUGUCCUGCACCACACACCCCCAGGGCCCCGGGGAUUCUGAGGAGGCAGCCUCUCCCUGCCAGCAUGCCUGCCUGACCCACCUCAGAGCCUGCUUUGCAUCACUGGGAAGCAGGCAGUGUCUUGGGUGGGGGCUUGGUCAGUAUCCUCUCUGUCUGGGUGCCCAGCUCCCACCCACACCUGAGCUUUCGGCAUGCUCCCACCUUAUUAAAGGUAAUUUCCCUCUCCCCAUGCUGUGAUAUGCUGGUCUUCUUUCCAGCCUCACCCUAAUCUCUGUGAAGGCUUCCACCCCUUCUGAGUAGCUGGCUGGGAGUGGACUCCAAGCAGGCAAGGAGGCCAAGGCCUGGCUUAACCUCCAAAAGACCAGAUACCCCACAGGCUUUGAACCUUCGACUAUGGAGGGAAAGAGAGCCAUGACUGUAUAUAAUGCUGUCCUCAAAUUCACCCAUAACAGAGAGCAGUGUCUCCCAAUGUCCCUCCUGGCCCAGCUCAGCCAGCAUCACCGAGCAGCUCUCUCCCUCCCCAUUCCUAGCUGCUCCAGGGGCAGCAGGGGAGGCGCGUGACAGAGCAACCCUGAGAGGCCAACUCGUGGAACCAUAACUGGGAUUCCCGCUCACGCCCUCAGGUCUCCCUUCCUUUUCCAGCGUCAAGCUCUUUGGGCAGCUGCUGGGUUCAGUGACUUGGGUGGGUAGGGAGAAUGGGGGGCGCCCAAGGCUGGGUUUUUACCCCUUGCUGCUACCUGGAUCUCCCAGCUGAAAUCCCAGUUAUUAGUGGCCCAGGAGAGGAGAAAGUUGGAAGAGGCUACGGAACAGGGUUCCGGGAGUGUAUGAGCUCAACCCCUCUCCCGGGAGAACGACCCCACCACCGCAGGCCCUAAUCCGCUGUCAGCAGUGCCCAGCGGAGCUCGGCGUUGAAGGAGGCACGUGGGGGAGGCGGGAGUGGGGAGCGGGCACGUGGUCCAGCCUUCUCAGCCCCGUGCUGCCCCCCGCCCCCCGUGAGGAGGGGUUUGGGGAGGUGGGGGCGGGCCCGGGCGGGGGCGGGGGCGGGCGGCGGGCGGCGCCAAGCGUGGGGCGCGGGCCCGCGGCGGGAGCUGUCCGUGAGUCCUAGUGCUGAAGUAGGCGCGGACGUGCCCGGUGCCUGGCGCGUGGUAGCAGGCGCCCAGUGCCCCGGCCGGCGAAGACCAUGGCGUUCAUGGUGAAGACCAUGGUGGGCGGCCAGCUGAAGAACCUCACUGGGAGCCUGGGAGGCGGCGAGGACAAGGGGGAUGGGGACAAGUCGGCAGCCGAAGCUCAGGGCAUGAGCCGGGAGGAGUACGAGGAGUAUCAGAAGCAACUGGUGGAAGAGAAGAUGGAGCGGGAUGCACAGUUCACACAGAGGAAGGCAGAGCGGGCCACACUGCGGAGCCACUUCCGAGACAAAUACCGGCUACCCAAGAACGAGACAGAUGAGAGCCAGAUCCAGAUGGCAGGUGGAGAUGUGGAGCUGCCCCGGGAGCUGGCCAAGAUGAUCGAGGAGGACACGGAGGAAGAGGAGGAGAAGGCCUCAGUCCUUGGGCAGCUGGCCAGCCUUCCUGGCUUGGACCUGGGCUCACUCAAGGACAAGGCCCAGGCCACACUGGGGGACCUCAAGCAAUCAGCUGAGAAGUGUCACGUCAUGUGACCACUUCCCCAGGGUUACCCACUGGGCUGGGCCCCCAUGAGGGCUAAGAGUCUGUCAACUUCCAGGGACCCACACUCCAUUUGGGGCUUUGUUUUCCUUGCCCCAUCCUAGUUCCAAGACCUUUCCCAUCCAUGCCCCAAGCCUGUCUUCUGGUUUCUUCCUCUGCUGGGAGUAAAGUCCCCAUCUUCACUCUACCCUUCAGGACCCUCCCCACCAGCUCAGCCUGUGGAGGCCUCCUAAGAUUGUAGGAAUAGGCCCAUCCCUCUCUGGCCAUGGCCCCAAGUUCCUGCACACAGGAGCACCCACAGAGAGACACACACAGGACACAAAAACCCUGGCACGUUCAGAGACAGAAGCCACAGAUGCAUCCCAGCACACACAGACACGCACGCACAGGCCAGCUCCCUUGCAUGUCCAGCCCCUCCAGACACCACCACUCAGAAACUCUGAGAGAGAACGUGGGCAGAUACCCUCGGCAGACAGAAGGCCUGAGUUCCAGUCUCCACCUUUAUUGUUCUUGAAAGCCCCUGCUCUCUCUCAGCCUUAUUUCAUCAUCUGUAAAAUGGGAAUGGCCUGAAUGACUUUUAAGGCUCUUUCUGGCUUGGCCUCUCAGAGCCAAGCCCACACCCCUCCUUGGGCAGGGCAGCAGCUGCCGCCACAGCCUCCAGUGGCUGCCACUGUGGGCUCUGGGAGCCGGAGCGAUGCUGUGUGAGAGGCAGAAUGCCAAGGAUGAAGCUGGCACUGAACAGUAAGCGGCUCCAGGCCUCCUCUGGGCCCAGGGCCCAGCCAAUUUCUGUUCUGUUCCUGUAGAACGCUCUCUGGAUUCCAUAGCUGGAAUCUCCUCUCUUAGCUCAGUGAAAAAUAAAAAUCCCAAAUGGUG